CUCGUGACGUUUUAUCCGGCAAUUAGCGAAGUGUCAAGAGCGUUGUCAUAGGUUGUCAUUUCUCUGGGAUGUUAGGCUACCAGGACGUGGGGUUUUGCACGAAACUUUAAAUGUGACACGAGUGUGUGAAGAGGGUGUGUGCCUGGAUAACUUUGCCAGGGAGAAGAAGUCUGACAAAUCCCAGAGUGGUCUGUGUCGUCUCCUCACCCCUACCAAGGGGUCAUCCUGACCUCGGACCCCCCUCUUGCCCCCUCCCACGAGCCUGACCCAGUGAUCCCCCAACCCCCCACCUUGCCCCAAAGCAGACUGAAGAACCCUAAACAGUGCCAGGCUCAAUCACCACUCAAGUCCCCUGAGAUCACGCAGGUCGUACAUAAAGAUUCUCUUGGAAGUUGUAAAAGGAGGGAUAUCAACAAAACCUUUUUUUUUCAGACUG
ensembl:lncRNA